CAUUAGAGAGAGGAAAAGAAAAAAAGAAAAGAAUAAACUUAAUUUUACUAAGCUAUAGUGUUUAAAUAUAUAAGUACAUAUAUUAUGUAUGGCAGAGUGAAAUACGUCAUUUACUAAACCAAUAUUAUUUAGUGCCACUUACUAAUUGUAUUUAGCAGAACUAGAAAUAAGAAUGAGCAAGAGAACUAAAUGUCAUCAGAAUAAGGUUCAUUAAUUAGCUAAAUAGCUAUUUAAGUUUUCCUGAAAAUGGAGGAAUAAAGACAGUCAAACUCUGUUCCAUGAAAUUUGCAUGAUUUUGAAUUAAAAUUCAAUCCUCAGAGCAACUAAAUUCUGAUUUGUUUGGAGACUGAUUCAGAAGGCAGUACAAGUUAUCAAGUACAAUUCUUCUUUCUUAAGUGCAGAUUUUUUUGUGCAGUGCCUUUUGUGGAUUUUAUGCAUUAUCAAAGAUUCAUUUAUGAUAAUCACUUCAUUUGCAUGAGUAUUAAAAUAAUUAAUUUAUUUAAAUAUUCCAGUCAAUGAAAUUCUCCAUUUAUUGCAUUUUGUCUUCAUUCUAUGCCCAGAGUUUUAUCUUUAGGCAAGUAUUCUUUUCCAAAUGAGGUACUUGUUUUGUAAACAUAUAACUAACUGUCUUUAUUGUUUUACUUACUGUUUUAACACUAAUUCUGCAAAUGGCACCAGAAGGAAUGCUUUGAUAACUAAAAUAUCAAGCUAAAAUCAUGUAUUUCAAACAGAGAAUUUAAUAGCAUGCAAAUUAUAUGCAUUUAUUCUUCUGUUACUGUUUACUAGGCAUUUUUGUAAAGCAAAGUAAAGGGCAUAACAAUCAAAAUCUGCAAUUUAAGAGAUCAGAAUGAAUAAAUAUUGCCUCAAUCUAACAACAAAUAAAUACAAUAGACCAAAUGUUGAUUAAUUUCUUUAAUUAAAAUAUCAAAAUAAAAUAUUUGUAUUUGUAUGAUUAUGAAGUUUAGGUUUAUUUAGUUCGUUUUCCUUUUAUUUUGUUUCAGUUAUUUUUUAACCACGAAGUGUGAUUUUUCUGCUAUGCUCGGAAUUUAAGUUCACAAGGUGUAGGGAGUGUCCUGGCAGUAUUUUUUCAUUAAAACCUGCAUUUCUCUUAGAGACUGGACCAAAGAGAUCCUGUUUUCUUUCAUUUUCCAAGACUCACCAAAGUAUCUACAGUGCUCACCUUUCUACUUUUGAGGAUUCCAUGAGGAGAUAAAAAGAGGCAUUGGAAUCAUUAAUGAUUCCUGAAUUCAAAAAGCACACAUGAACACAUAACAAAAAUCAUUUGGACACAAACACUCUCACAUUCUGAGGCAAAUAAUAGGUACGUCGGCCAUUGAACUAGAAAAAAGAAAGCAACAGUUUAAUAAGCUAUAGUCUUUUUUUUUUUUCAGUUACAAUGUAUAUUGAAAAGUCACAAGCAGUAUUCUACUGCUUAUUGAGAGUUCUCCCAAAGGACUAUUGUUUAACUAGGUUAUAUGGUCACCUUUGGUAUCCUGUUCAGUCUGUUUCACGUAGCUUUUGCCUACAGCAUCCCGAGUUUGUUCAGACACCCAUGCAUCCUCUUUGUAGCCAUGUUUGGUAUUACUAGUAUAAUAAGAAAAAAACCCUUAUUUUAACAAGUGCUAUUGGAUUCUGGAAAAUAAGAUGUUAUUUCUAAUAGGAAGAUUUUCACAGGUAUUAUGGAAGACAUACUAUUUGCUCUGAAGGCUGAAGAAUUUACUGGAUUUUGAAAGGAGAGCUUAGAGAAACAGCAUCCCUCCUAAAGGGGAGCAUAUUGGCCAAGAAAUAGUGUGGUUAAAAUCUGGGUCAUCAGUAGGGAAGAGCAGAUAGUCCAGUUUGUCUGGAUUGCACAUAUCCAAGGAACAUGUUUAGAGGUAAGAAAGAUAUUUAUUGGCCUUGGGUAAUUUGUAAAGAAAUUUGGAUUUUAUUUUGUAAGUAAUCAGAAGCCAUGUUUUAUAAAUAAAAACCUACUCUAAGGCAUAAUUAGUAGGAUGUUAACAUAUCCUGGGGUUAGAUUCUGUUUUGUAGUCACUAAGGAGGUACAUAUAUAAGAUAUAUUCGUCUGAAAGUUUCUUUAACAAAAGUCCAUCAAAUCAUUCCAUCACUUCUUUUCCUUACUGCUAAGAUAUUAUUUCCUCACUGUUUUCUUACUGUGCCAUAUUCUUAUAAUAUUUCCCCUGAAAUCAGAUUAUGACCUAAUGAUUCUUUUCGUUUAUACAUAUUAUUUCUUUUGCUCAAAUUGCCCCUAACACUCUAAUAUACAAGGAAAAAAUUAUCUUCUCAAUAAUUGGGAAGAAUCGCCCCAGUUUAUACUAAGAUCCAAACAUUCAGUACUCUAAUUAAGAGUACACCUUAAAAACGCUUUAAACUAUAUGAUCAAUAAGUACCUGCUAACAAGCUAAAUAAAGGCCUGAAGCUUAUAUCUGUUGUCCUUCAUUUCUCCUCUAGUGAGACUAGAAUUGAUCAAAAGAAAGAAAAAGUUAGACAAACUGAUUAUAUAAGGUAAUACAGAUAAAUAACUUUAAAAAAAAUUUUUUUUGAUGGAAAAUCUAAGAAAGGAAAAUGUUAAGUCUCUUACUUGGAAUAAUGUGAGAAAAAAGAAAAAAAAUAAUAUUAUCUCUUUACAAACCUACUCUAGCUUAUGUUAGCACACAUCAAAUUACAUAGUCCCUCAUCUAUAAAAAGAAAGAUUUCCAGAAUUAAACUUAUCAAUAUUUUAGUAGAAAGUAUAGCUACAUGAAUUAUUCCCAUUUGUGAUAAGAGGCCAUCCUUAAUUUUCUUUCAUUAUCUGCUAUCACUCAGCUCAAGGCCAUGCCCUGUACUUUACACACAUUCACAGUGUUUAGAAUCUUUAAGCAACCAAUCAGAUAUCUAUUGUGAAUAAUUUAGCCUUUUCUACAUUCUCUCACUAGAACUACAUCAGACCCAAGAAAAACCACAUGCCAUUUAAGAAACUAAAUAGGAUUCUCUGCCAAAGGAAUUAUAUUCCCUAUGCUAUUCUGAUUUAUUUGGUCACUGGAGGACAUUAAAUAUUUUGUAAAGACUGGUUUCACUCAUCUCCCAUUUCAUGGGUUAGAAUAAUAUUACACACUCUUACAGCAUCAGGUUUAUAAUGAGCAUUGUGGUAUGAUAAUAUUUGCUAGGCCACUAGGGAAAAAAAUCCUACUUUUGACAAUCCAUUUUAGCUUUUAGAAGAAAUUUAUUUACAUUCAAACUGUAAUUUGUUGGCCUUGUGCCACAAAUUGAUGCCAUAAAACAGGAGGGACUCUACUUCAAAAGAAUACUGGUGUUUUUAUUGUAAAUAUGAAAUACUUGGUGACAGUUACAAACAAAGAUCUUUAGUAAGGGAUACUUGUUUAGCUCCAAAUAUAUAAGCUUAGGAGAAGUUUAUGAACAGUUAUCUCUUAAUUAUUUCCAAGGCCAGCCUAGAGCUAUCAGUCUUAACAUAUUUCUCCUAAAUUAAAAAAAAAGUGAAUCUCUAAUAAACUCGUAAGUGCCAGGCUUUGCAUCUGUUGCUUCUGCCAAAUCAAAUGUUUUGGCUGGAACAGCAAUAGAUUGUGCUGAUAAGAAUCUGUUAAGUACCUGGUGAGGUGACCUGCCUCACAGCCAAGUCACUCAGCUAGAUUCUCUCUUUAUGAAAAGGAAAUGCAAGAACAAAACAAUUAAGCUCCAUGUUAAUUCUAUUUUUGUUGAGCCUGAAGUAUAAUUUAGUUUAUAUCUAUUUCCUCUAGAGAAUACAAACAUGUAAGAAAAUAUUUAUAUAGAGUAUUUGUUGGUUAAAUAUUUCAAUAGUUUAGUGAUAAAGUCUAGAGUAUAUUAACAUAGGUAAUAAAAAUCGCUCUUUGAUCAUAAAGUAAUUAAUAAUAUUUAGAUGCUUAUGCAGCACUGUGAUAUGUAAAUGAUGAUUUCAAAGUCAUUAUUAAACCAAUAAAGUAAUAAUUUUUUAAUGAGGAAUGCUGUCACAUCAAGAACACUAUGUUUAUUAUUAAGGGGCAUAUUAAUGUUUUUAGCUCAUCCAGUCAAUAAAGGAUCUUAAUAGGCUGCCUUCAAAUUUUCUGUAAUUGUCAUUUGCUAUUCUGACAUGUAACAAUCAAUUCAUGUUGGAAAUACACAAUCAUUAUAAACAGUGCUCACCACAAUUUCUUAAGAAGCUAUUUUUCAUUAAAUCUUUGCGGUGCUAUUGACAGACGUUAGGAGUGUGUGUGUGUAGGGUGGCAUAUGCAUGUGCACUCAUGCAUAAAGGAUAAAGUAGAAAUAGGAAAUGCACUUUUGCCAACGGGGAGAGAAGGUGUCAUAACACACACAUUCGAAAAUGAAGUAUCUUUACUACUGAGCCUCAGUUUCCUCAUCUGUAGAAUCAGAUUUCAAGAGUUCCUACAUCAUAGAUGCUUUUUGAGGAAUAAAUGAAAUGCAUAUGACAGGUUUAGAACAGCAUAUUAUAUAAUAGUCAUAUAAUAAUAAUUUGUCCUUUUCUCUAUCAUUUUUAUCUUCAUAUAGCUGAUUAGAUUUAGUUCAUAUAUUAUGAAAGGAAAUUGUCUGUCAUAUAUGUUGAGAUAUUUUCUUAGUUUGUAGUUUUCUUUUAACUUGUAUUAGAGUGUUUAUUGCUAUACAGAUGUUUUUAGUUUAUAUGUAAUUCUGCCGAAGUUUUCCUAUAUGGCUUCUGAGUUUGUGUCAAAAUUCAUACGUUCUCUCCUAUUCAACUUUAUGAAAAUAUAUUUUUAUAUUUCUUGUAGCUUUAAGUUUUAUAUCUGCAACAGUUAAUACAUUUGAGAUUUAUGAAUGAAGUCAGACGGGUAUAAAAUUUAUUUUUCAAAUGGCGAGUCAAUUGUCCCAGGCCUCUGAAAGGUUAAUUUAUACAUCCCCAUAGAUCUAAACUGUCAUCUUUAUCACAUACUACAUUUCCCUAAAUAAUGGGUUACUUUCCUAACUUGCUAUUCUCUUUCCCUUCUUUGCCUUCAUAAGCAAGCCAUAAAAAAUUCCUACCAGAGUUCCCACUGUGCCUUAGUGGAACUGGUGGGGCCUCUGUAGUGUUGGGAUGCAGGUUUGACAGUGAAUUAAGGAUCUGGUGCUGGGGGCAUAGGUUACAACUGUGACUCAGGUCUGAUGCCUAACCCAGGAAACUCCAUCUGCUGUGGAGUGG
rnacentral:lncRNA from 1 species